AGUGAACGCUGGCGGUAGGCCUAACACAUGCAAGUCGAACGGCAGCACAGUAAGAGCUUGCUCUUACGGGUGGCGAGUGGCGGACGGGUGAGGAAUACAUCGGAAUCUACUUUUUCGUGGGGGAUAACGUAGGGAAACUUACGCUAAUACCGCAUACGACCUACGGGUGAAAGCAGGGGAUCUUCGGACCUUGCGCGAUUGAAUGAGCCGAUGUCGGAUUAGCUAGUUGGCGGGGUAAAGGCCCACCAAGGCGACGAUCCGUAGCUGGUCUGAGAGGAUGAUCGGCACCUGGGGAGAGAGGACGCGGCCCAAACCCCGGCGGGGGACAGGGGGGGGAAAUUUUGGAGAAGGGGCGGAGGCCAGACCCAGCCAACCGGGGGGGGGGAAAAAGACCUUUGGGUUGUAAAGCCUUUUGGUUGGAAAAAAAAAACGCCAGUUUAAACCCCCCGUUUUUGGCCGGACCCCAAAAAAAAGCCCCGGCUAAAUUCGUG
rnacentral:rRNA from 1 species